UACAGAGGGUGCAAGCGUUGUUCGGAAUUAUUGGGCGUAAAGCGCGUGUAGGCGGCAGUGCAAGUCGGGUGUGAAAGCCCUCAGCUCAACUGAGGAAGUGCGCCCGAAACUGCAUUGCUUGAGUACCGGAGAGGAUGGCGGAAUUCCCGAAGUAGAGGUGAAAUUCGUAGAUAUCGGGAGGAACACCGGUGGCGAAGGCGGCCAUCUGGACGGAUACUGACGCUGAGACGCGAAAGCGUGGGGAGCAAACAGG
rnacentral:rRNA from 1 species